AGUGAGGAAUAUUGCUCAAUGGGCGCAAGCCUGAAGCAGCGACGCCGCGUGGACGAUGAAGGUCUUCGGAUCGUAAAGUCCUUUUCUGUGUGACGAGGAAGGACGGUAGCACAGGAAUAAGUGUCGGCUAACUACGUGCCAGCAGCCGCGGUAACACGUAGGACGCAAGCGUUAUCCGGAAUUACUGGGCGUAAAGAGCGUGUAGGUGGUUGUGUAAGUCAACCGUGAAAGCUCCCGGCUAAACUGGGAGAGGUCGGAUGAGACUGCACGGCUAGAGGGUCGUAGAGGAAUGUGGAAUUCCGGGUGUAGUGGUGAAAUGCGUAGAGAUCCGGAGGAACACCAGAGGCGAAGGCGGCAUUCUGGACGACACCUGACACUGAGACGCGACAGCACGGGGAGCGAA
rnacentral:rRNA from 1 species